CACUUUUGAGAUUCUUCCUCCCCCAGUCCGAGAAACAUACGAAUAUUUUACCCAAAGAUAUCAUGAUGAUCACCAAAUUCCUUUGCUUUUACAUUUUUUCCACAGAUUCCAUAUUCCUUGAAUAUUUUCAUGGAAAUUCACCUUUCACAAACCAGAGGGGCAUAAAGGACUUCCAUGGUUAUACCUCUAGGUCUAUUGUAAAUUGUACAAGAAUUGGGAUCCAAUGAAAGCUUACAUAUCGGAAGUAGAAAAGUGUUUCCUAUGCAAUCCUGGAUGUUUGACCCCAACAGGAGAAUUUGAUUUGUUGGAGAAUUUUCUCCAUUUGUUGAAUGAAAUCUCCUUGGCUACCUGACUUAGCUAAUUUUACGGCUACAAUUGACUUUUGUUGUAGAAACGAGAUUUGGGCGGCGUCUGUUGGGGUCAAACAUAUAGGAUUGCAUAGGAAACACUUUUCUACUUCCGGUAUGUAAGAUUUCAUUCGAUCCCAAUUCUUGUACCAUUUGCAAUAGCCUGGAGGGCUAACCAUGUAAGUCCUCUGUGCUCCCUCUGGUUUGUGAAAGACAUAUUUCUAUGAAAAUAUCCAAGGAGUAUGGAACCUGUGGGAAAAUUGUAAGAGCAAAGGAAUAUGGUGAUCAUCAUGAAAUCUUUGGGUAAAAUAUUUCUAUCAUUCUCGGGCUGGGGGAGGAAGGAUCUCAAAAGUGGAAAAAAAUUGGCAACCAUUGGUGUAGAAACCACUAAGGGAAUUUCGAAGGUAGUUGCUUUCCCCAGAGUAUAAACCAAGAAUGUUUGUUAUUUUUAUUUUGAAAGGUGAAUGCAUUCAUCUACGCUCUUUGAUAAUCAGAAUAAUUAUAAUAUUGGGGAUCAAAAUCUUCAGUAAGCUUUCGAUAUUUUGCAGGGUGCGUACCCCACUCUUUUGGUGAGAUGAUUUUAUUAAUCCAUACUGUGGUAUGGGUGGCAUAUGACUGGGUUUGUUUGUAUUUGUGAGGUUUGAACAAACAGGAUUUGGUAUCUGUUAGUAUGAAUUCAUAAAACUUCUGGGUAUGGGCAGGAGUUUUUUGGAAAAAAUUUGUUGUGGGGCUAAGCAUUUGCUUGGCUACUUCUUGGGGGUUGGAGUGACAAUACACAACUUCAAUUUGGAUUAUUGGUAAAACACUUUCAUUUUUGAAAUAUGUCGGGUUAUCUGAGGAGGAUCCUUUACUUGAAGAAAUUGGUUGUGGGGUUGGUGAGGAAAUUAUUUUAGGUUGUACAAGGCAAACAUUCGAAUUAUUUUGUGGAAAUUAAAAGAAAAAUUAAUGGGGUUUUCUACUCCACUAGAUUUUUUAUGGUGCCCUUAGCAACCACAAAAUGAGAUAAUGCAUGGCUCGGGGCCUCUGCUUGUGAAUACAUGUUUUGGAAGAUCUAAGAAUAUCUCAGAUAAUCCCUUCUAUUGGCACCUAACAUACUAGGUGGAUCUUUAAAAACCAUAAGUAAGCGCCAUUAUUUAAAAUUCUCUUUUAUCUAGGGGAUAUACAUUAUUUGAGCUAAUUGAGUCUCUUCUUCUUCAUCAUCGACCAAAUCAGCCCAUUUCUUGGUGUUGGAAAUUGAAAUUGGAUUUGUACUUGAUUGCAUUAUGAAAUAUUAUGGUAAUCCCGGUAUGGCAUAAUCAGCUGGGGUUUGAUAUCUUGGCUGGGUUAUGUCAGCUACUAUAUUUGGAAGUUACUUUGGUGCAACUGAAGUUUGUUGCUGUGGUCUAACAUCUUCUUUGGUGGUUUUUGCUGGAGAUGGAAGGGCCAAAAUUUAUGGAUUUGGAGGUUCUUCAUUAUUUUUUUUGGGCAUCUUAUCUUCCCUGCAAGAAUUCCCUAGUAAGAAAAUCUAGUAUAGAAUUGGAGCUGCCCUUGAUAUUUUCUAUAUCAAAAUAAAAAAUAGAUAAAAUUACCUUCCAUCUGGCAAAUAGAUGUUUAGAGGCAAGGUUUUGUACGUCUUUUUGUAAAAUAGAUUUUGCCGCUUCACAAUCAAUUCUUAGUAAAAAAAUUUUAUUUAACAAAUCAACUUGAAAUUUGGAAAUGCAUAACAUAAUUGCUAAAAUUUCUUUUUUGAUAGUAGGAUAAUUUUCUUGAGCUUUAUGCCAAUGUUUGGAUGCAAAUGCAACUAUAUCUUCUUUGUCAUUUUUCAUUUUUUUUAAAAUGCCAUCAUAGCCUAUAUCUAAUGCAUCUGUUUCAACUAUUUUGAAUGCAGAAGGAUUGAGAAAGGAUAAGCAAGGGAGGCCUUUUUCCUUUAAUUUGAUUUCUUAGGCUAUAUUUCUAUGAAUUUGAGUCCAUGGAGAAGGAGGCUUCUUCAACCUGUCGUAGAGAGGUUUAAACAAAUUGUUUAUACUGGGGAUAAAAUCUGCUAUGUAAUUAACACAUCCUAAAAAUCAUUGAAGGUGAGUUUUAUCAAGAUUUUGAUCGAAAAAUUUGUCAGAAAAUUGGAUGGACCUUUUGAAAGGGAUAACAGUACCAUGGCAAAUUUUUUGGCCGAGGAAUCUGAUAUCAACCUGAAAAAGACUAUACUUAGUUUUUGACAAAACUAAGCCAUUUUCUUUGAUGAUAUUAAAGAAGACAUGUAAAUGUUUAAAAUGCUGAUCAAUGCUGCUAGAAAACACUAAAACAUCAUCAAUAUAUACGAUAAUGAAUUUUGAAAAUAGAUUUAAAAUGUCAUUCAUUAUUUUUUGAAAUUUAGAAGAAGCAUUUUUUAGGCCAAAGGGCAUUCCGUUCCCUUCAUAUUGCCUGAAUGGUACUGUAAAUGCUGUUUUAUAACGAUCUCUUGGAUCAAUUUGGAUUUUCCAAAAUCCUAAUUUUAGGUCAAACUUGGAGAAAAUUUUAGUUGCAAAAGGUUAUUGGAGAAGAUCUUUUUUAUUUGGAAUAGGAUAUCUAAUCCAUCGAAAGAUGGAAUUGAGGGGUUUGUUAUUUAUAACCAAACGGGGGGCUCCUCGGUUGAUUUUGGAACUUGUAUUGACAUAGAAGGCAGCACAAAUCCAAGGAGAUUUACUCGGUGAGAUGAUCUAUUUUUGGAGAAGAUCAUUGAUUUAUGUCUGACAAUGAUUGUCAACUCAUGAUUCAUUUUAUUUGGAUGAGCUUUGGUAGGGAUGAUUUUUUCAUCUAAGUCAGGCUCAUAAGGAAACCUGACCACAUGUCUUUUACGAUUCCAAAAUACCUUGGGCAGAUCAGCGAAAAGCUCUUUUUAAAUCUUUGUUUCUAAGGCCUUGACCUUAGAUUGGAAUGAAUGAUCUCGUAGCUGUUGCUCCAGUCUUCGGAAUGCAAUUUAUUCUUUGAGAAAAUUGAUUUGAGCCUUUUUUUUUUCAGAGAGGAUAAAAUUUUAUAAAUGGGCGGUUUGUCAAAUGGGAGAAACAUAUUGUUGGAUUCAAUGGUUAUUCCCAUAUCAGUAACCUUGAAAGGAAUUAAAGUUUCAAUAAAAAGAGUACCUAGUAUUACAGGACUAGUUAUAUCCUUUUCCCGGUAGAAGGAAGUAGAAGAUGGCAGAAGUGAAUUUGCUAGGGAAUUUCAAAUCUUGACAUCAGUAAGUUUGUAACUUAUUCUUAGUUUACUACCAUUUUCAACCUAAAGGGCUUCCACAGAUUUUUCGAAGAACUUAGUAGGGAUAAUUCCUUCUUGGACACAAUUGAGGUCUGCACCUGUAUCAAACACGGCAAUGAUAUCUAGGAUAAAUGAUUUGUUGAUAACCAAGGUUAUCUGAAUGUGCCAUCUCCUGAUGGUAAUCCUUGAAAUGUAUUAAACAUGAAAAUCUCCUUCUUUAAUAUUUUGAUCCAAGGGAAGUGUCAUCUACCGGCUGGGACUGUUCAGCCUUCGUAGAGAAUUGUUGGAGGACAAGGCGGUCUAAGUUUUGUAUUGCUUUGAUUUACCUAACUUCCUCUUUAAGGAGAAAAAUCUUAGAUUAGAGGUCUUGAAUGGUUACUGGCUUAGGUUUACUAGAAGGAAAUGGCUUCAGGAGGUCACUGAUGUUGUAAGUAUUUGUAAUCUGGGGAUGAGAAAAUAUAACAGAUGAAGAUGUGAAAGGCUUUUCAAGAGUUUUUUUUAAUUGGUCUAAAUAAUACUUCUUCUGGUCAAAAUUUUAUAAAUUGCUAAUCAUUUCUAGGACGAUAUCUUGUUAGUUUAUUAGAACAUUGAUCUUUGGUUGGUUUUCUUGAUCAGACUGGGAAGAUUCCAAGUCAUUAUUUUGGAUUUGGUUGAAUUGCUGAUCAAAUUUGUCAUUAGCACUAUCCAAAUCUCCGCUUACUUCUAAUAAGAGGUUUUGGAUUUGGCUAAGCACAAAAUCAUCAAGGUUAAGGCUUCUAACCUUUUUAGAAAAUUUACAAUACUCAGCAAUAUGACCAGGAUGCCCAUACCAAUAAUAUUUUCCACUAUUAGGGGCAGGAAGAGUCACUGUUACUGUCUGGAUCUGUUUAGGAUGGAACGGUUUUGAUUUUUGGGGAAGAUUAGGUUUGGUAGUAGAAACUUCCCUUUUUGAGGUUGGUAUUCUAUAAGCCUUCUUCCUACAAGGGGGGAGGCCAAUUGCUCACAGAAACUUCCUAAAUCUCGAUGGGUUUGAGCCCUGUCCUUAGUGAGUUGCCUUAGUAUCUUAUCUUGUCGACAGAUCUUUAGGGAAACUUGAUGAACUAGGCUCGUGAUGUGACCAUAAGUUACUUUCUCAUUUGGGAUGAUCUCAUUGGAGUAUUAGUUUUAAAGUUAUUCUUUGAAUAAGUCUUUAAGGGACUUAGGCAAUCCAUCUAGGAAUUUUUCUUUCCAAUGUAGGAGGUUCCAAUCAGGUCUUUCAUAGAUCCUCAUAAGAAAAGCAUCUUUGUACCACCUGAAAUCGAAAAAGAUUUUACAUUUAAGAUUGUUAAGUACUUAAGAGGACCUUUCUCUAAAGAUACCUGGACUACCAAUAAAGGUUUUGAUAAUAGUAUAAAUCAAUGUAUUUGUGGAACCAGGAAUGGUUUCUCUAUCUCUAAGAAUUUGUUCUCCUAAGGAGUAUACAUGAACACUUUGGAAGAUAUUUUGUUUAUCUUCCUCACUAAGAUUGGUAUCCUACCAUCCUUUAAGUUGGCCUGUAAACCAAGCUACUAGGACAUGGGUAGUGAGUUGAUCGGAGCAAUUCUGGGCAUUUCUAUAAGUAGUGGCAACCAUCAUCAUCUGUUAAAGUUUGGACAGGAUUUGAUACUCAAAAAAACCAUCUAUGUUCCUUUCAUAGAUAUUAUUGGCAUUAUAGUUAUUCUGCAUAACAUUGGGUCUCUCUUAUAAAGCUACAUCUGGAGGAGUAGCUCUAGGGUAAUAAAGUUUUUACGGCUUUCCCCAAUUGGAAGAUUCAGUUUUGAUAGGAGCUAUUUCAAGAGGAGGUUUUUCCUUUGGCUGGCUGUCAUUGAAACCAUCCUGUUGGAGAACCCAAACAGUAGCAGACGAGCCAACACCUGGGGUCUUAGGAACGUCUGGGUGGAGAGAUUUCUCAAUUUGGAUGAUCCUCCACUGAAGGUCAGAUAGUGAUGGAAAAGAUUUUGAAUUAUGCAUUUAGAGUUCCCUAGUGAAAGUCGUAGGGAUCUUGUAAGGCUUAAAUAAAUGAGAGGAUGAGUUAGUCGCCUCUGACUUAACAGUUAGAGAUGGUUUUGAAGUCAAGUAUUCACCAAGUGUAUGAAGAUACUUAUUGGUAUAGUUAUUUUGUUUGAAAAGACUUUUAAUAUCUUUGCCAGUAACUAGUUCGUUGUCAGCCUUUUUUUAGAAAGGUGAAGCAAUGAUUGAGUUAUUGGCAUGAGAAAUUGUAAAACCUUGUGAUGGAUGAAAUUCAGCGGUGACGUCUACACUAUUCAAGGUUUUCUACACUUUUGAAACAUUAAUUAUUUAGAAAAAGGAAAAUCUAAUAGAUAUUUCUAAGUCUAAUAGAUUGAGUCAAGUUUUACCAUUCUUUUAGAGAUCUACCAUUCUUUUAGAGAUCUGAAAGUACCAUAUAAUAGCAAGUUAAAAACAAGAAUAAUAAUUUUUACUUUCCCCUAUGGCUCAGAUACUCAACCUCAAUUUGGAUUAUUGGUAAAACACUUUUAUUUUUUAAAUAUGUUGAGUCACUUGAGGGGGAUCGUUUACUUGAAAAAAUUGGUUAUGGGGUAGGUGAGGAAAUUGUUUUAGUUUGUAUUGGAUGAAUUCAAAUUAUUUUGUGGAAAAGGAAAAGAAAAAUUAAUGGGGUUUUAUACUUUCACUGGAUUUUUUAUGGUGCCUUUAGAAACCAUAGAAUGAGAUGAUCCGUGGCUUGAGACCUCUGCUCGCGAACACAUAUUUUGGAAGAUCUAAAAAUCUCUCAGAUAAUUCCUUCUGUUGGCACCUGACAUGUUGGGUGGAUAUUUAAGAUCCAUAAGUAAACACCAUUGAUUAAAAUUUUUUUCUGUCCAGGGGACAGACAUUGUUUGAGCUAAUUGAGUCUCUUCAUCUUUUUUGUCGACCAAAUCAACCCAUUUCAUGGUAUUGGAAAUUGAAAUUAGAUUUGUACUUGAUUUCAUUAUGAAAGAUUGUGGUAAUCUCGGCAUGGCAUAAUCAGUUGGGGUUUGAUAUCUUGGCCGAGUUGUGUCAGCUACUACCUUUAGAAGUUGCUUUGGUGGACCUAAAGUUUUUUCCUGUGGCGUAAUAGCUUCUUUGGUGGUCUCUGCUGGAGAUGGUAGGGCCAGAAUUUAUGGAGGUAGAGGUUCUUUUUUCUUUUUUCUGGGCAUCUAAUCUUCCCUGUGAGAAUUCCCUUGUAAGAAAAUCUGGUAUAGAGUUGGAGCUCCCUUUGAUAUAUUCUAUAUAAAAAUCAAAAAUAUAUAAAUUGCCUGCCAUCCAGCAAAUAUAUAUUUAGACGCAAGGCUUUAUACUUCUUUUUGUAAAACAGAUUUCGCCGCUUUACAAUCAAUUCUUAGUAAAAAUUGUUAAUUUAACAAAUCAGCAUGAAAUUUGGAAAUGCAUAACACAAUUGCUAAAAUUUCUUUUUUGAUAGUAGGAUAAUUUUGCUGAGCUUUAUUCCAAUGCUUGGAUGUAGAUGCAACAAUAUGUUCUUUUUCAUUUCUCAUUUGUUUUAAGAUACCACCAUAGACUAUAUCUGAUGCAUUUGUUUUAACUAUUUUGAAUGCAGAGGGAUCGAGGAGGAUACGCAAGGGAGGUCUUUUGCCUUUAACUUGAUUUCUUUGACUAUAUUGGCAUGAAUUUGAGUCCAUGUGGGAUGAGGCUUCAUCAACCUGUCGUGGAGAGAUUUCAACAUAUUGUUUAGACCAUGGAUAAAAUAUGCUAUGUAAUUAACACAUCCUUAAAAUCGUUGAAGUUGAGUUUUAUCAAGAAUCUAAACGGGAAAUUUCUCAGCGUAUUGGAUGGACUUUUGAAUAGGGGUAAUAGUACCAUGGAAAAUUUUUUGGCUGAGGAAUCUGAUAUCGACCUAAAAAAUACUAUACCUAGUUUUGGAA
rnacentral:lncRNA from 1 species